AUCGAACGCUGGCGGCAUGCCUAACACAUGCAAGUCGAGCGAGCGGCGGACGGGUGAGUAAUGUAUGGGGACUGCCCGAUAGAGGGGGAGAACUACUGGAAACGGUAGCUAAUACCGCAUACUAUCGGAAAAACUAUAUGGGAUUAGCGAGUAGGUGAGGAAAUGGCUCACCUAGGCGACGAUCCCUAGCUGGUCUGAGAGGAUGAUCAGCCACACUGGGACUGAGACACGGCCCAGACUCCUACGGGGGCAGCAGUGGGGAAUAGUGCAAAAUGGGAGCAAGCCUGAUGCAGCCAUGCCGCGUGUAUGAAGAAGGCCCUAGGGUUGUAAAGUACUUUCAGUCGGGAGGCGUUACCGACAGAAGAAGCACCGGCUAACUCCGUGCCAGCAGCGCGGUAAUUC
rnacentral:rRNA from 1 species